rnacentral:lncRNA from 1 species
ACAUAAAAAUUGUAUCAACAAGCACAUGCAACAAAACUAAAGUAAGGGAUCAAAUGCAUGCCACCAACACUCCCAACGGUAUAAAAAACAAAACAAAACAAAAUACAUCAUCACGGCUAAUUUUGUUCUCCAUUAAUUUGAACUUCAUUCCCCUGAUCUCUAAAUAUGAUUAUUCCUUAAAUGUGGUAGAGGAAAUAAUAGGGUAAAGGAAAGGGUAUAGAUUACGAAAAAUGAUAUUGUAUAUCCGCUUUCAAAAUAGUAGCGGAAUGUAUAUACAUUCUAUAUGUUUAUUAACCUACACAAAUAGGUAAUUACUCAUUUUACAAGUGUCUACAGUUUAGGAGUGUGCAUUCGAUUUAUCGAUUUGAUUUUAACCCUUAUUAAUAAUUACUAAUAAAUAGGUAAUUACUCAUUUUACAAGUGUCUACAGUUUAGGGGUGUGCAUUCGAUUUAUCGAUUCGAUUUUAACCCUUAUUAAUAAUUACUAAUCGAUUAUUGAUUUGUACAUAUACUUACCGUUAUCGUUUCAAUAAGGUUUCGAUUUUUUUUAUUUUGAUUUUUUCGAUUUCGAUAACAAAUAAUCGAUUCGAUUUAUCGAUAAACCGAUUCGAAUGCACACCCCUACAUAGAAACUUUGAUGAAGGGGGAUAC